rnacentral:rRNA from 1 species
UACGUAGGGUGCGAGCGUUAAUCGGAAUUACUGGGCGUAAAGCGUGCGCAGGCGGUUCGUUAAGUUCGUCGUGAAAGCCCCGGGCUCAACCUGGGAAUGGCGAUGGAAACUGGCGGGCUGGAGUGUGGCAGAGGGGGGUGGAAUUCCGCGUGUAGCAGUGAAAUGCGUAGAGAUGCGGAGGAACACCGAUGGCGAAGGCAGCCCCCUGGGCCAACACUGACGCUCAGGCACGGAAGCGUGGGGAGCAAACAGG